CAAAGAAUAGUUUAGUUUAGAAUCUUAGCUUUGGGAGUUAAGGGUGGGAGUUAGAAUCUCUCUUUUUUGA
rnacentral:tRNA from 1 species